rnacentral:rRNA from 1 species
UACGAACUGUCCUAACGUUGUCCGGAAUUAUUGGGCGUAAAGGGCUCGUAGGCGGUCUGUCGCGUCGAAAGUGAAAACUCAGGGCUUAACCCUGAGCCUGCUUCCGAUACGGGCAGACUAGAGGUAUGCAGGGGAGAACGGAAUUCCUGGUGUAGCGGUGAAAUGCGCAGAUAUCAGGAGGAACACCGGUGGCGAAGGCGGUUCUCUGGGCCGAUACUGACGCUGAGGAGCGAAAGCGUGGGGAGCGAACAGG